GGAUGUGAGGGUGAUCUGGCUAUGACAUCUGUCACCCCCACUGGGGUUUCUUUGGCGGAUCUGGCUAGUGUGGUGAGGGUCUCCGUCCUCCUUCCCUGCUCCACAUAUGUCAUUCCUGAAACAGUGGGCUUGGUCAAAGAGAAUGACCUUCCCCAAUAGGGGAAGACCUUUCUUCAAUCAAAUGUACAUGAGUUGCUAUGCUCCUCUGCUAGAACCUCCAAACAAGCUCUGAAGAUUAUGUGCAUGAUUGAGAUUGGUUUUGCAAAGUAGCUUAUCUCACAAAUAUAUUGACUCAUCAAAAAACUUAAUAUUUU
rnacentral:snRNA from 1 species